UGUGAGCUCGAUGAGUAGGGCGGGACACGUGGUAUCCUGUCUGAAUAUGGGGGGACCAUCCUCCAAGGCUAAAUACUCCUGACUGACCGAUAGUGAACCAGUACCGUGAGGGAAAGGCGAAAAGAACCCCGGCGAGGGGAGUGAAAAAGAACCUGAAACCGUGUACGUACAAGCAGUGGGAGCACGCUUAGGCGUGUGACUGCGUACCUUUUGUAUAAUGGGUCAGCGACUUAUAUUCUGUAGCAAGGUUAACCGAAUAGGGGAGCCGAAGGGAAACCGAGUCUUAACUGGGCGUUAAGUUGCAGGGUAUAGACCCGAAACCCGGUGAUCUAGCCAUGGGCAGGUUGAAGGUUGGGUAACACUAACUGGAGGACCGAACCGACUAAUGUUGAAAAAUUAGCGGAUGACUUGUGGCUGGGGGUGAAAGGCCAAUCAAACCGGGAGAUAGCUGGUUCUCCCCGAAAGCUAUUUAGGUAGCGCCUCGUGAAUUCAUCUCCGGGGGUAGAGCACUGUUUCGGCAAGGGGGUCAUCCCGACUUACCAACCCGAUGCAAACUGCGAAUACCGGAGAAUGUUAUCACGGGAGACACACGGCGGGUGCUAACGUCCGUCGUGAAGAGGGAAACAACCCAGACCGCCAGCUAAGGUCCCAAAGUCAUGGUUAAGUGGGAAACGAUGUGGGAAGGCCCAGACAGCCAGGAUGUUGGCUUAGAAGCAGCCAUCAUUUAAAGAAAGCGUAAUAGCUCACUGGUCGAGUCGGCCUGCGCGGAAGAUGUAACGGGGCUAAACCAUGCACCGAAGCUGCGGCAGCGACGCUUAUGCGUUGUUGGGUAGGGGAGCGUUCUGUAAGCCUGCGAAGGUGUGCUGUGAGGCAUGCUGGAGGUAUCAGAAGUGCGAAUGCUGACAUAAGUAACGAUAAAGCGGGUGAAAAGCCCGCUCGCCGGAAGACCAAGGGUUCCUGUCCAACGUUAAUCGGGGCAGGGUGAGUCGACCCCUAAGGCGAGGCCGAAAGGCGUAGUCGAUGGGAAACAGGUUAAUAUUCCUGUACUUGGUGUUACUGCGAAGGGGGGACGGAGAAGGCUAUGUUGGCCGGGCGACGGUUGUCCCGGUUUAAGCGUGUAGGCUGGUUUUCCAGGCAAAUCCGGAAAAUCAAGGCUGAGGCGUGAUGACGAGGCACUACGGUGCUGAAGCAACAAAUGCCCUGCUUCCAGGAAAAGCCUCUAAGCAUCAGGUAACAUCAAAUCGUACCCCAAACCGACACAGGUGGUCAGGUAGAGAAUACCAAGGCGCUUGAGAGAACUCGGGUGAAGGAACUAGGCAAAAUGGUGCCGUAACUUCGGGAGAAGGCACGCUGAUAUGUAGGUGAAGUCCCUCGCGGAUGGAGCUGAAAUCAGUCGAAGAUACCAGCUGGCUGCAACUGUUUAUUAAAAACACAGCACUGUGCAAACACGAAAGUGGACGUAUACGGUGUGACGCCUGCCCGGUGCCGGAAGGUUAAUUGAUGGGGUCAGCGCAAGCGAAGCUCUUGAUCGAAGCCCCGGUAAACGGCGGCCGUAACUAUAACGGUCCUAAGGUAGCGAAAUUCCUUGUCGGGUAAGUUCCGACCUGCACGAAUGGCGUAAUGAUGGCCAGGCUGUCUCCACCCGAGACUCAGUGAAAUUGAACUCGCUGUGAAGAUGCAGUGUACCCGCGGCAAGACGGAAAGACCCCGUGAACCUUUACUAUAGCUUGACACUGAACAUUGAGCCUUGAUGUGUAGGAUAGGUGGGAGGCUUUGAAGUGUGGACGCCAGUCUGCAUGGAGCCGACCUUGAAAUACCACCCUUUAAUGUUUGAUGUUCUAACGUUGACCCGUGAUCCGGGUUGCGGACAGUGUCUGGUGGGUAGUUUGACUGGGGCGGUCUCCUCCUAAAGAGUAACGGAGGAGCACGAAGGUUGGCUAAUCCUGGUCGGACAUCAGGAGGUUAGUGCAAUGGCAUAAGCCAGCUUGACUGCGAGCGUGACGGCGCGAGCAGGUGCGAAAGCAGGUCAUAGUGAUCCGGUGGUUCUGAAUGGAAGGGCCAUCGCUCAACGGAUAAAAGGUACUCCGGGGAUAACAGGCUGAUACCGCCCAAGAGUUCAUAUCGACGGCGGUGUUUGGCACCUCGAUGUCGGCUCAUCACAUCCUGGGGCUGAAGUAGGUCCCAAGGGUAUGGCUGUUCGCCAUUUAAAGUGGUACGCGAGCUGGGUUUAGAACGUCGUGAGACAGUUCGGUCCCUAUCUGCCGUGGGCGCUGGAGAACUGAGGGGGGCUGCUCCUAGUACGAGAGGACCGGAGUGGACGCAUCACUGGUGUUCGGGUUGUCAUGCCAAUGGCACUGCCCGGUAGCUAAAUGCGGAAGAGAUAAGUGCUGAAAGCAUCUAAGCACGAAACUUGCCCCGAGAUGAGUUCUCCCUGACUCCUUGA
rnacentral:rRNA from 1 species